GUGGGGAAUAUUGGACAAUGGGCGCAAGCCUGAUCCAGCCAUGCCGCGUGAGUGAUGAAGGCCCUAGGGUUGUAAAGCUCUUUCACCGGAGAAGAUAAUGACGGUAUCCGGAGAAGAAGCCCCGGCUAACUUCGUGCCAGCAGCCGCGGUAAUACGAAGGGGGCUAGCGUUGUUCGGAUUUACUGGGCGUAAAGCGCACGUAGGCGGAUCGAUCAGUCAGGGGUGAAAUCCCAGAGCUCAACUCUGGAACUGCCUUUGAUACUGUCGAUCUGGAGUAUGGAAGAGGUGAGUGGAAUUCCGAGUGUAGAGGUGAAAUUCGUAGAUAUUCGGAGGAACACCAGUGGCGAAGGCGGCUCACUGGUCCAUUACUGACGCUGAGGUGCGAAAGCGUGGGGAGCAAACAGGAUUAGAUACCCUUGUAGUCC
rnacentral:rRNA from 1 species